rnacentral:rRNA from 1 species
AUUGAACGCUGGCGGCAGGCCUAACACAUGCAAGUCGAACGGUAACAGGAAGCAGCUUGCUGCUUUGCUGACGAGUGGCGGACGGGUGAGUAAUGUCUGGGAAACUGCCUGAUGGAGGGGGAUAACUACUGGAAACGGUAGCUAAUACCGCAUAACGUCGCAAGACCAAAGAGGGGGACCUUCGGGCCUCUUGCCAUCGGAUGUGCCCAGAUGGGAUUAGCUAGUAGGUGGGGUAACGGCUCACCUAGGCGACGAUCCCUAGCUGGUCUGAGAGGAUGACCAGCCACACUGGAACUGAGACACGGUCCAGACUCCUACGGGAGGCAGCAGUGGGGAAUAUUGCACAAUGGGCGCAAGCCUGAUGCAGCCAUGCAGCGUGUAUGAAGAAGGCCUUCGGGUUGUAAAGUACUUUCAGCGGGGAGGAAGGGAGUAAAGUUAAUACCUUUGCUCAUUGACGUUACCCGCAGAAGAAGCACCGGCUAACUCCGUG